AGUUUAAUUGGUAAUUGAUUGAGAGAUUAUAAAUAAUGUCGCAGACUUGUAGUUGAGAGUGCUCUAGAACCGGCAUUGUGAUUUUCCGUCUCUCUCUUUUUGAGCUCAUCGAUGGAGCCGUAGAUUCCUCCGUUUUCUUGAUCGUCAGCGGGAGAUCGAGAGGAGGUAGCGGUGACUGCUCUUCUCUUCCUGGAAUGGAGGAGAAGGGGCAGAUGAGUGAGGUGCUCGAGGCGCUCGAGGUGCUCAAGAAGGCUUCCAAGGACAUCGAGGCCAAUCCUCAUAAGGGCGGGGGCGGAGGCGGGGGCGGCGGUGAUUGUGAUUCGCCUUCCAUGAAAGCUCUUCUGGAGCUUCAGACCGGCUCUGACGAUCUCCUCUCUGGUGAUCCAUGUCUCUCCACGCUCUCCGACCUCCUUUCCCGCUUCAAAUCGCUCGCUGCUUCCCUCGAGUCUAGCUCGUGCGAGAAAGGUAAGGGCGGGAUUUGGGGAUCGAUUCUCCGACGGAGAUCCGGCAAGAGCGACGAAAUGUCGAGGGUGGCCGGAUCCAUCGGCGCCGAAAUCCAGUCGUGGAUCGACCGGGUCAACGCGGAUCGGCUUGUCUCCGCCCUGCUGUGCGCCAACAAGCGAGACGAGGGGGAGCUGGUGCCGCUGCUUAGCGCCCUGGAGUCGCGCGUCUCCCGGGGCUUCGACCACGGCCUGCAAGAUGUGCUCCUCCGCUACGGCGCCUUCGCUGCCGUGGAGUCCGCUCUUGCGGACGCGCUGGUGCCGAAGCUGGUCCGCGAGCGCGCAGCGGCAGCGGCGCUCGCUCUGGUCCACUUCAACAAGGCCGUCUUUGUGGGUCCUGUUCUGAUGGGGCCCACAGUGGAUGCGAUCGUCUCCAUGUCCUCUACCUCCGUCGCCGCGCUGCGCGCUCUGAACGGGCUCAUCGCUGCCAUACGGAGCCCGCUGGUGGACGAGCUACACGCACAAGGGGCAAUUUCGCGGCUGGUCGGCCUCCUCGGCAGCGGGGAGGGCAGCGGGGUCAGCGUGGAGGUGCGAAUGCUGGCGCUCGACUGCGUGCUGGAGAUCGGUUAUUUCGGCCGGAAGGAGGCCAUCGACGCGAUGCUCGCGGAAGGGCUGAUCAAGUGGCUGGCGGCGCUCCAAAGGUCGGACCUUGGAGGUACCCUUAUCGAGAUGGACGGAAGCGAGGGAGGGGUGCCGGCGGGGUGGCUGUGGCACGGACGUGCCGUGGAAGAGGAGCGGCGAUUCCUGGAGGCGCGGCCUUUCGCGAGCUGCGUGGCGAGGUGGGCGGUGCAGGUGGAGGUCGGCGAGGGGCUGCGGCAACGAGAGAGGCGAGAUAUAAAGCGGCAGCUGGUGUGGAGGGUGAAGGAGGCCGCCGCCUCCGAGGCGGAGGCCGCCACCGUGCUUUCGGAGGUGCUGUGGGGGUCUACCAUAUGGUAACAACACUCUACGUCACGUCGCACUUGCAGUAGUUGUGGACUUUGUGGAAGGAUUAUGUUUUCAUUUGCAUAAUCUCGGCUUCUUCCCUAUCAGAUAGCGUAGUGGGAAGAGAGGGACAAGUGCAAAGCCCACAGAUAGAUUAGUUUAGAUUUGAUCUGAUCCGGCAGGUUUGUGCAUAUAAGGUUGUUCCAACUGAUAUGCCGUAAGGAGCUUGUCAAACCGGCUCUUUCAAGCUUGUGCUUACAAUUGUUGAAUUGGCAACUGACAAAAGUGUGAUUGAAGGGGAAAAUUUGAAAGCUUUCUUUGCCAACAGCUAGACAAAAUAUUCAACAUUGGAACUCCUGGUUUGUAGCUGGAUUCAAAAUGAAGCAUUUCCCUAAACUUGUUUCUGUUGCAUUUAAUGAAAAACUCAUGGACAAGGUAACUUGUUUCAUGAAUCAAGAAGAUUAGUUACAAAUGAACGACUGUAUCUGUACAAAUAAAUUCAUCCAGUCACUAUACUACUUUUGUAGCUUGGUUCUUUUUGUUCUUCUGCUAGACCUUUUUGUGCUGCUUCAGCUAUGGUUGCAGGACAAUAAAGAAACAGAAAAUUUCUAAUUUCGCCAAUAUGGAUACUGAGGUGAUGUUUCUCUUCCUCGCCUAUAAAUUUACAUGUCAGUGUUUAUUUGUACUGGUAUACGCAUACAAGUAUGAAUCCAAUCGCACUUGCAUAUGUGCAGUAGUCUAUAGACUCUCUACUGCUAAUUUGAUGUCUAUGAUUUAUACUCCACAUUUUUUUAUUAGUAUGGACUUAUCUGCACAUAUAAAUUUAGAGUAAAUUG